AGUAUGGUGGUGUAGUGGUUUAAGUGUUGGACUACAACUCUGAAGACCAGGGUUCAAUUCUCUGCUGGGUGA